rnacentral:rRNA from 1 species
UACGUAGGGACCGAGCGUUGUCCGGAUUCAUUGGGCGUAAAGAGCUCGUAGGCGGCUGUUCAAGUCGAACGUGAAAACUCGGAGCUCAACUCCGAGCCUGCGUUCGAUACUGGACGGCUAGAGUCUGGUAGGGGGAUCGUGGAAUUCCUGGUGUAGCGGUGGAAUGCGCAGAUAUCAGGAAGAACACCGACGGCGAAGGCAGCUCGCUGGGACGGUACUGACGCUGAGGCGACGAAAGCGUGGGGAGCGAACAGG